CUCUAUUUCGUUUGUUUUUGUUCCGGAAACAAAAGGUUGUCGGCUACAUCCUCGAUAUUUUUCCAAAAUAAAGGUUGCAACACACAAUAUUUAUGUUAGUUUCAACAUUGCCACCUACUGUAUCAUAGCUGCUAUUUAAAGGAAUCAAAUGUUUUACAAAUCAGCCUUCUUUGACUUAUAAUAAAGCAGUGAAUUAAAUCAAACACACACAUUUUCCUUCAACAAUGAUUAUUUACUAUUUAGUUCAAGUACAAAAAUACACAACCAUCAUACAAUAUGACGUUCAAAGGAAUAAAUCAAUGCCUUCAAUAAAAGUAAAUCGAAGAGUAGACUCAGGGUUAAUAUUUGUCUCAAAACUAACUGAAAAACCACACUGAGAAUGUACUCUUAAGUAAACGCUUGCUAACUCUGAACAAUGUAACAGUUUAAAGAGAAAACUAUUCGAAUAUAGCAUAAAUAGCUAAUGGGACUGAGUGGAUUGAUAAUGUAUAAAUUAUGACAGCUGAAGAUUUUAAACAUCCCUAUGAAUUUGCUUCCAUGUAAGCAUUUCACGGUAAGAUUGUAUUGGGCGCAUGUGAGAAAUAAAAAAUGUAAAUAUUUAAUCAUUACAAUUUAAUUUUGCAUCUCAACAAUAUAAAUGUACUAUUAGACUGAUCGGCUACAAGCAAAUUAUAGUGAUGGAUGGAAUUAAUAUCUAUUUAAUGUCAGUUAUACUGUUGUUUCAUGAUCAAAACAGCAAUAACAUGGUUUACGCCAGAGAACCUGUAGUUUAUUACAUAGCUACAACAUUGUUGUUAUUGUGGAACACUCCUGUACAAUAGGUGGCGGUGUCCAACUUUCAACUCUACCAUCCAGCAUAAGGAAACAUAAUCUCACCAGCUAAAAACAAAACUAGCCAGCGAUGUGUAGUUUUUGAUAUGAUUAUCUUUAAUUUAAUAGCUAGCUAGAUAACUGUAAAUUCACAUAACAUAGAAAACAUAAAAACUUUUUCGUUGAAAAGGGGCCAAAAGCGUCGGGGGAAAAUGUCGGGUUCCGUGGUCGAGUUCCAGGCGCAGAUAGCCUCAAUCAUGGAGGUGCUAGCCAACGCGGCUGUAGCCGAAAUCUGCAAAAUUGUUGACGAUGGCUAUGCCGUUGUACAUCUGGAGAUUUCCCAAAGCCACAAGGACAACGACUUUCUCCGGAGGAAAUUGAAAUUGAUGGAAUUUCAGAUCGCAAGGUUUCGGGCUGAGAGAAUAAAGCUUUCAGAGGGGUCCGUCCACAAUCGCUUCCAUGGAAUACGCCUCCUAAACAGACACAACCAUCGAGAGAAGGCAAUGACAGGACCUACUUGGCAAAGCAGAAACAGACUUUCCAACAGGAGUUUUGGGAACAGCAGCAUUCAAAGAGACAGACAGCCCAUAGACGUGGACCAAGAGGAUGUCUCUCCAUCAAAGCAUAUGGAUGCUACAAGUGAUGAGCAGUCAGCAGAGACAGAGGAAGGGGAACCAGACCUGCUGAUCAUCAAGGAUGAGGGGGAAGCAGAUGACCAGGACUCUAGGAUCAGCCACCCAGCUAGAACAGUGGAGAGCAGCAGAGAACUAACCACCCAACUGGCUGCAGCCACCACAGAGGACCCCGCCUUCCAGCUCAGUGGCCCCAGAGGCAACAACAACUACAACACCGCUUUGGAGGUCAGUGGAUCUGACGCCGUCCUCCUCCAAUCAGAAACAGGGAAUGUGAACCAGGGACCCCAGCAACACACAGGAUUUGAACCCAGAGCAGAGAGAGAGAGUCUGGACACUAAGUGUGACAUGAACAGGGACCUCAAUCUCCUAAGAGGUUCUUUAAACCAGGUUUGGAGAGAGGUAGUAGCGACUGAUGAUGGCGCCUCUGCUGCUCACACUAAAGUAAUGAACCUAGGAAGUGGCCCAGUGGGCCCAGAAGCACAGAAUAGCUCAGACAUAGAAAUGAGAAGUGUAGGGUUAGAAAACCACAGGUUUUCCCCCAAGUCAUUCCAUUCUUCAUCAGAACAUGUGAUAGUGAUUGACUCUGUAUCCAGUGGCCAGCAGGUAGAUAGAGAUUUAGAGUGGGGUCAGGUGGGUACAGCUCCUACACAACAGGUCAAUGGGACUGGAAAUAGGCAGGGAGUGGGAGUGUUUGAGAGGAACGCACCAAUGAUUCGCCCCGUUCACCCCGAAUCGAUGAGAGACAACACUAUGCAAUUGGUUUCACCCGGAUUCCGGCCCUCAGAGAUAAAUACAGGCAUGCAUCUUGACACAGGAAAUGCAGGUGAGGCCAAUAAAGCUAGUUGGUGUUCGUUGGCAAGCUUCCAUAGACUCUCUGAAAUACCAGGAAGAGGAGCUCAACAACCAGCUCAUGCCUCACUUCCUUUCUGCCAUUUUAGACCAAGCACCACAACUUCCUGUCACUCGAUUAAUCUUGCCACAGACAUUACACCUGGCACCAUAGAACGACCGCAUGGUUGCCCAACAUGCCAUAAGAAGUUUGUCCACGAGAGUGACUUGCGGCGGCAUGUGGCCAUCCACACCAGAAAGCGAUCAUUCUCCUGCACCUUGUGUGAGAAGAGCUUUGUGUGCGCCAGCCAUCUCCAAAUGCACCUGAACGUCCACACUGGGGAGAAGCCCUUCAGUUGUGCACAGUGCGGGCGCAGGUUCUCCCACUCCAGCAAUCUGAAAAGACAUCAGAAGCUUCAUCAUUGAGACAAAGGCUGUGACAGUCAUGGAGUUUUGGAUGGUGGUAAUUGAUCAGCCUAAUAACCUUGGUCACCAUUAUAACCGUUUGAAUUGCAAAAGACAAACAUUUUCUUCUUUCCUCCGCUCCUGAAUUGUUUCACCAAGGAGCAACAAAGUUUCAUCACGUUGGAGAUUCCAUGUUACAGCAGAAACCAUGGGGAUCCUAUUAAAUUACUAGAGGGGCUAUGUCAUAAACACUCAGUUCUAGAAUGGGGUGAAUAUGUCAGCCAUUUUAGUCAGGGAAAAAUCCAAACCAGUCUAAUUGGAAUGAAUGGCAGUAGAGGCAGAGGUGAUUCAUAGAUGGAGUCAAGAGGUCAAUGGAAUGCAGACCACGGGGAAUAGAAGAAGGAUGCCAGAUUGGCACAAGUUCAAGAAAUCUUAACUAACAAAGUCGAUAUUCACAAAUCCGUCAUGAUUGUGCCUCUGGAGUGGAGCAGAGGUCUAAGGCUUAAGUCACUUCAGAUUCAGGUUCGAUCCCAGACCCAUGAGGCAGCGGACAAUUGACCCAGGGUCGUCCGGGUUUGGGGACAGCCGGGUUGUCCUUUUCCCAUCGCACUCUAGCGACUCCUGUGGCGGGCCAUGCGCAAUGCACCUCCACAUUGGUGCGUCUGGCUUCCAGGUUAAGCGAGCAGUAUGUCAAGAAGCAGUGUGGUUUGGCGGUGUUGUGUUUCGGAGCACACACGGCUCUCGACCUUCGCCUCUCCCGAGUCCAUACAGGAGUUGCAGCGAUGGUACAAGACUGUAACUACCAACUGGGGAGAAAAAGGGCAGUCAGGAGAGACAGAGGAAGGGGAACCAGACCUGCUGAUCAUCAAGGUGGAGGGAGAAGCAGAUGACCAGGACUCUAG